CAGGCAGAGAGGGAGAGGGAGGGAGGAGCGACUGCCUUGAAGAAGAAACCCCCUGAGAAGGAGGUGUGACUCGUCGCCGUCGUCGGGAGGAGAAGCAGCAGCUCCGUCACCUGAGUUCCUUGAUCUGAAGAUGAAUUGAUGACACCACUGACCUGAGGUCCUCAUCCAUCGACACACCCGGAGUCUGAUCCACUGGUUGUGACCGCUCGCAGGUCGCGGGGGCCUCGUCGACUUGUCUCCCAAACCAGAUUGAUCGAUUUCAAAUCGAACUCGGUGACGAGGCGACGGAUCAGUUUUACGGCCUGAACCUGAAAAACUCUGGCUCUCUGUGGAUUCCCCCUCGAUCGACCGAUCCCGGUGGGACGAUCGCUCGGCCGCUCGGUAGUCGAAGUCGAUCGAUCGAUCGUUUUUUUCGUUUGGAGCCGAGCUCGGUUGCCGUGGCGAUGAGCGGAGCCGGGGAUGUGGUGUGCGAGGGCUGGCUGCGAAAAUCACCGCCGGAGAAGAAGUUACGCCGUUACGCGUGGAAGAGGCGUUGGUUCGCUCUGCGGAGUGGUCGGCUGAGCGGAGAACCGGACGUCCUGCAGUACUACAAGAACCAACAGUCCCGCCGGCCAAUCAGGACCAUCAACCUGAACCUGUGCGAACAGGUGGAUGCCGGCCUGUCGUUCACGAAGAAGGAGCUGGAGAACAGCUUUGUUUUCGACCUGAGGACUGAGGAGAGGACCUGGUAUCUGGUGGCCGAGUCCGAGGAGGACAUGAACCGCUGGGUGUCGUCCAUCUGCCUGCUCUGUGGCUUCAACCCGACUGACGACUCAGUCAGUUCAGCUCCAGAGAGACCUCCCGUCUCUGGCCCAACCUCCGCUGUGACCCCAACCAACGUCACUGCCACCAUCGCCACGGCGGCCGGCACAGUCCCGCCCCCUUACGACCCGGUGAGCGUGCGACACCAGGAGCCCGACGGCCACGCAGAAGACAACUACCUGUGGUUAUCACACUGCCAGAGUCACAUCAGGCCUCCUUCAGGAUCCUCCACCUCCCUUGAAACCCACUACAACGACAACCUCUACCCUCCUCCCUCUCGCACAUCCUCCUCCUCUUCCACCUCCUCCUCUCCUUCCCUCCUCCCUAACAUCCUCCCUCCUCCGUCCUCCUCCACCUCCUCUGUUUCUAAGAUGGCUCCCUGGACAGUGGCCUUGAUGACGGGUCCUCUCAGCCAGUCGCUGGACGCCUCAGACCUCCUGAAACGAGCUGGCAGACCUCGCUGUCACCCCUCUCCUCACCCCAGGAAGCACUCCCUCGAUUUCCACCUGCGUCCCGUGGCGAUACCUCUAAGCGAUGAUACGCACUCCAACCUGCAUCCAAACAUGCACUCAUGCACCACCAGUGGUUACCAGAUACCCCGUCCAGCAUCCACCCCGCAACCACGACAAACCCGCCGCCCCUCCUCUACCCCGAGUGUGGACUCUCUAACCCAGAUGGAGCUCCAUGCCUCCAUCCCAACGCCCCCUCCACGCCCACCGAAGCCGCCAGCGAUCGCAGCCCAGGGAGAGAGCUCAGCGGUGGGCAUGGGACGUGCCACGCUCCCCCGUACCACCUCAGAGCCAGAGAGGAGGGAGGGGUGUCUGGACGGAGGUGGGGGAGGUGUGCCGAGGAGUAACACAGUCACUAUACCAGGACGCACGCAGACAGGUUGCGAGUCUUUUUUCAUCCCUCAGUCGCUGUCCGACAGAGCGAGCAUGUUUGAGUUCAGCGACAGCUUCAACAGUUACUUUUUUAAUAAAGGCAUGGUACCUCUGGGUAGCGUUUGCUCCGAAGAUGAUAAUGUGGAUGAAAACUACGUCCCCAUGAGCGCUGCAACCACAGAGCCUCCCGUUGCGCCGAGGGUCUUCUCUCCCUCUGACUCCGUUGUCCAACUCCAAGAUGGCAACUAUGUCCCCAUGACCCCCCUCACCCCUUCCCUUUCCACGCACCCCGCGGUGGCCACAGGAUCUGAUCUGGCGGCGCUGGGGAGGCAGGUGCCUCCGCCCGUCCACAUGGGCUUCCGCAACUCCCCCCUGACUCCCGUCGCUCCCCUCACCCCGCCGCUGCGGAGGAACACGGUGACCACGGCCGGUGGAGCAGAGGUCGACGCCAUGCCGCCGCCGAUCGACCGCAACCUGAAACCACAACGCAAGGGCGUUUGUGUCGCUCAGCCUUCGGAGAGAAGCGUCGGACAAACUGCUGCAGAGUCGACCCAUAAAACCAGAGUGAAACCAGCUCCUCUGGACAUCGUGUCAGUGCAGCAGGACUGGCAGGAAGUCCCGCCCCCGGUCCGCUCACCUGUCACCAGAACCUUCACACGAGAUCCGUCCAGUCGUCCGUCCGUCAGGCCGAGCUCGUCCCACAGCUCGUCCCCGUCCUCCGACUCAGACGACCCCGAUGACAGCUACAUCGCCAUGACGACCUCCAGCCUCAGUUUCAGUGCCGGGGAGUCGUCUCUCAGGCUCAUGCUGCACCGGGCUUCAGAGGGCGGAGUCAGCAGUCCGUUGCUACGGCGAGCCAGAGGCGACAAACAGGUGGAGUACCUGGACCUGGACCUCCACACCGGGCGAUCGACACCAACGAGACAGGGCGAAGAUGAUCUCCUGGAUCCCGCUGCUCGUCGUCCUGACCUCCUGUGUCUGUGUGACACCGAGCGUCUAUCAGGCCGAGGAGGACGACAUGGUCACACUGGAAUGGAGGUUCCCAGGUGAAGCCGUCGGCCCCCGUGACUUCCUGUACAUCUUCUGCGAUCUGGUUGUCGACAACAGAGACUCGAAGGUCCUGUAUCACCUACGCGAGGGCGUCGAGGUCCGAGUCCAGUGUGACAACGACGCCGUGGGACAAGGACGACUCCGACUCAGUGUGUCCAGAGUCCGGACCGAGGACUCGGGCCUGUACCUGUGUGAAGUCAGCACAAAAAGUUUUGGGGACGGCGACAAAUGUCGACUCUUUGUCACUGCAGCUCCCGACGAGCCCAGACCCGAGACGCGGACAGCGAGGCCACAACCAGAGUGUCUGAGAAGGAUCCGCUUGUACCUCACACUGGGACUGACGGCGUCAAUGGGAGUGACAGCGGCUGCCGUGGCCGCUCUGGUGUUCAGACUCUGGCCUCGCUCUCGUUCUGCUGAGACGACGACGGAGAGCAGACUUCUCCCCGAGGCUUCAUCCUUUGACCCCGAUGUGCUGCUCCUGCCCCCUGCCACCUCACAUCUGACCAGCCCCACCGUUAUUUCAGAACAACAUGGUGACUGAUGACUGGACUUCCUCAGGACGGCCUUUGAAUGUAUGUCCUGGUGCAGCCAGGUGAAUCUUUGGGGUUUUGGGGGAGAGGGUGGGGACAUCCGGUGGUUUCAGCUUUGGGACGAAGCAACGGGACGAGACACUUUGCAAGAAAUGACCACGGGCCGACAGUAAGUUGUAGGUCGACCGAUGCUGCCACACGUUGCUUCGUACUGUUUUUGUGCACGAAAUAAUACGCUUACGUUAAAUGAACAAACUUUGACAGAAUCCAUGAAGUCAUUUUAAACCCACGUGUGAGUACAAUGUUACACAGCUCACCAGUUCUCUGUCCAAAGAUGACGUUUGAUUCACUUUUUUGAAAUAAUAAAAAACUUUUCGAACUGUA